rnacentral:misc_RNA from 1 species
UCCAUCGUUUGUGAUUGUGGG